CUCGGCGUGAAGAUGGAUUUAAGAGAGAUGAAAUCCUAGCAAUUCACUGCGGUGGAAAAUAUCCAUAUCCUUCCACCUCCGCCGCCACACUCUCCUCGUCCGCGUCCGCCACUCGCACCCCUCCCCUGAUCCCCUAAUUCCCUCCCUUGCGUCACCAGCUUCACCCACUUCUUCAUGUGCGACGGCCGACGCAGCUCCCGUGCCUUCCCAUUGCCGCUGGAUGGGAGUUGUUGGGACAUCGCCAGUCCACAUCGGCGACGGGUGGUGACCAGCUCUCCGCGCAUGUGGAGCAGCGGGUUGCCGGGGGCACAACUACCACUUCGCCACUGCCCUGACUCCUUCCAGUGGAUGCGCCGUCGAUGGAGACCGCCAACAGGAUGAAGAUUUGUCGUCCCAGCAAACUCAUGCGCUGUUGCCGCCACAAUUGUUCUCUUUGUUGGAGUCUUCCUCCUCUAGUACGUCCUCUCCUGCGACCUCCGUAAGUUCAAGGUUUCACUACCGGAGCAGCGGAUUCCUUGUUGAAAUGUUUGAUGCGGUCUGCUCGGCCUUUUUCUUUGGCAGGAGAGAAAAAAAUUGGUGUCUUUGACACUCCUGGGACCGACAGAUCAUUCAUGGCAUGGUUGGAUUUGAAUGGGGAAGUGUCCAUCCAAAAUUUGUUUGGUUGACUGGACUAAUUGUUCCUUUGGCUGUUUUAAUGGAAACCCAUUCACAUAAUUUUUGCAAACAUUAGCGAAGAUUUCAGUGGCAGGGAGUGUUUGCCGGAGUGGAAACGAUUCAAGAGCUGGAAGGAGCUCAAGAUUUUGCUACUGCCUUGCUGAUAGGUUUGUGAGGCAUUUGUGAUCUUGUUAACCGAUGCACCCGCUGACAUCAAGAUGUGGCAUGGUGCGGGCUUUGGGGUUUCAGGGGCGUGAAAUGGCGUGGAAGACAGAGAUGGAAGUGGCCUGCAUCCUCGAAUCGGGGUUGCCUCUUUGAGAGUAGCAGAUUGCCGAGAUGAGGACCUGUGUGGAUGCCCAAAGUUACAGGUCAUCAAGAACUAUAUCCUCGAAACUAAAAGUUGUUGGAAAAGAUCUGUUAUGAUGCCAUAGAAGUUGCAGAUAAGGAUCUUCUCCCCUUAUGCGCUGGGUCUGAAAGCAAGGGCAUAAUCGAUGAUCGUAGCUGGUUGAUUUUCCAACAUAAGGACCAGAGAAUUGCUACAGUUUGAGAUGACAGUGAAUGCUUACAAGACUAACUUUGCAAAUAUGCGUGAGGGCGACAUAUGCCCUUCUCAUCCUACAUGACUUGGAAUAGCUUUUGACUUUUCAGCUACAUAUCAUGCUUUGAAUUCACCUACAAGAAUCUACCGUUACAACACCAGUGCAUGAUGAGACUGAGAAGAUCUUGACCUUGCUGCGACAUAAUUUAAGGAGCUGGAAUGAGGUUGGACCUUUAACACAAUAGCAAAAUUUAACUCGAAGAACCUCUGAUAUCACUAAAUCAUUAUCAGGCUAACCAGCCAUCUCAGGCCGAGUCUGUUGCUACUGUUGCUCAACCUUUCAGUGGACUACAAGAUGAUAUACCACAAGGCUCGGAUGCAAGGUGCAAGUCACCAUGACGGUAGCGGGUUGAGAGAAGUGGAGAAUAGGGUUCCUCCAGGUUCCAUCCAUGAAUGGUGUCAGUCCAAUAUCUCAGUUAAAUGUCUGCUAUUCCUUCAUUUCUUCAUCUUCGGUUGAAGAAUAAUCCCUCUACUAUCAUCUUGAAGACUUGAAGGGUGGCAUGCGCACGUCCAUACAAUAACUUUAAAUUUUAAGUGUACUUUAGUUGAUGUAUUGUAGUUGAUUGAAUCCCGUCAAAGAUUCAGAGAAAAUCAAGUAACUUGAUAAUUAUUUGCUUAGAGAGCAAGAAGUUGCUACUAUAUCGUGGUUCAUGCCAAAAGCAUUGUCAGCCAAAAUAGGAUAGAGAAUCCCUUGAAAACAAUUGAAAGAAUAAUGCAUUUCGAGUGAAAGGAUCUUGUUUGCAUCCCCGGGGUAGCAUGGUAAGGGGUGUUAAAAUUUCAUUCAAGAGGUGUUCAAUAUUACGAAGUUAACUCUAUCAUCUCACUUGGAUUUAGUAUCGUGACAUCUGACGGGUUGCUUUCUCCUUUUGAUAAUUUCAUUGUGGUGCUUCAGUUCAUUUGAGCUAAUGAUCGUAAAUGUCAUGACAUUUUCGGACCGUUGAGAUAGUUGCCAUCGACAUGGAAGUUGUCAUAUGUGAUAGGAACAUUGUAUUAUCUCAAGCGGACAUAAUAUCUUAUAUUGUGAUGAUGUUCAAAGUGCCAUAAGAAGAGGAUGCUACACAUGUUUCAUCUAUAUAUCAAUUUUCUUCUUCAGAAAACAACAUUUUAGUCUUUAACACAAGUUGUACUGCAGGAAUAUGAAACCAAAUAAUCUACUUAUCGGUGCUGAAUGACAACUCAUGGUUGGGAUUUUUUUCUGGCAGCAGGAGCCCAGAACAGGACCCCACCAUAUUCUUGUUAGUGGAUUUCUAUGGAUCUACUUUUAGUUAACUCUGUCUCGGACUCUCUACAAUCCCAAAACUGUAUAUAAACAGAAUGUUGAUGUCUACUACACAACUUGUUCUUGUAGAUUCGUGUUGGGCCUCCAAGCGCAGAGUUUUGUAGGACAGUAGCAAUUUUCCCUCAAGUGGAUGACCUAAGGUUUAUCAAUCCGUGGGAGGCGUAGGAUGAAGAUGGUCUCUCUCAAACAACCCUGCAACCAAAUAACAAAGAGUCUCUUGUGUCCCC
rnacentral:rRNA from 1 species